rnacentral:tRNA from 1 species
ACCUGGGUGGCUCAGUCGGUUGAGCAUCUGACUUCAGCUCAGGUCAUGAUCUUGCAUUUGUGGGUUUGAUCCCCGCAUCGGGCU